GUCGAACGGGAGGAAAAGAGAAGCUUGCUUCUUUUUGAAUCUAGUGGCAAACGGGUGAGUAACACGUAAACAACCUGCCUUCAGGAUGGGGACAACAGACGGAAACGACUGCUAAUACCGAAUGUGUUCCGGAGACCGCAUGAUUUCCGGAAGAAAGGAUGGCCUCUAUUUAUAAGCUAUCGCCUGAAGAGGGGUUUGCGUCUGAUUAGGCAGUUGGUGAGGUAACGGCCCACCAAACCUACGAUCAGUAGCCGGUCUGAGAGGAUGAACGGCCACACUGGAACUGAGACACGGUCCAGACUCCUACGGGAGGCAGCAGUGGGGAAUCUUCCGCAAUGGACGAAAGUCUGACGGAGCAACGCCGCGUGAGUGAUGACGGCCUUCGGGUUGUAAAGCUCUGUGAUCGGGGACGAAUGGCUGGUAUGCUAAUACCAUAUCAGAGUGACGGUACCCGAAUAGCAAGCCACGGCUAACUACGUGCCAGCAGCCGCGGUAAUACGUAGGUGGCAAGCGUUGUCCGGAAUUAUUGGGCGUAAAGCGCGCGCAGGCGGCUUCCUAAGUCCAUCUUAAAAGUGCGGGGCUUAACCCCGUGAUGGGAUGGAAACUGGGAGGCUGGAGUAUCGGAGAGGAAAGUGGAAUUCCUAGUGUAGCGGUGAAAUGCGUAGAGAUUAGGAAGAACACCAGUGGCGAAGGCGACUUUCUGGACGACAACUGACGCUGAGGCGCGAAAGCGUGGGGGAGCAAACAGGAUUAGAUACCCCUGGUAGUCCACGCC
rnacentral:rRNA from 1 species